UACGGGGGGGGGCAAGCGUUGUUCGGAAUUACUGGGCGUAAAGGGCUCGUAGGUGGCCAACUAAGUCAUACGUGAAAUCCCUCGGCUUAACCGGGGAACUGCGUCUGAUACUGGAUGGCUUGAGGUUGGGAGAGGGAUGCGGAAUUCCAGGUGUAGCGGUGAAAUGCGUAGAUAUCUGGAGGAACACCGGUGGCGAAGGCGGCAUCCUGGACCAAUUCUGACACUGAGGAGCGAAA
rnacentral:rRNA from 1 species